ensembl:lncRNA
GUCGAUGUCAAAUGCAGAAUCUAUAAUUUAUGAAGUAAUUACUCCAAUUUAAAACUAUAUGAACAGAAAAGAGCAAGUCUGAAGUUCUCACACCGAUAUCUGUAGUACGUUAAACGAGUGGGUGGGAACUACAUGAACUAGCUCCUCGUCUCUAAAGUGGACUUCGAGAUCAAGCGUCAUUCGGCGGCAUGUCUCCAGGACAGGAGUCGACUGUUGCGCGCAAGGAAAAGUAGCCUCGUCUGGGGUACAGGAGAUCUAUGGAGGCUUGAAAGUCUGACGGAAGGACACGGAGAACGUCAGGUUCUUCUGUGUUGCCACAGGCAGGCAGGGCACCAGAUGACUGGUGUGUACUGGGAGUAGGGCUUUCAGUCGCUGCGCUGCAUUGGAGCACAAUUCACAGGUGAGUGUCAGAGGUUCACUUCCUACUUUAAUACUUCCAUUCUUCUGUCAGGUAUGUCCACCUUUUUUAAAUUUUUUACACUGAUUGGUUAAACAUGAAUCUAUGUUUGAAACAAUGCUCCAUUCAUGAUGAUGUCUGAGUAACUAAGGUGUGAAGAGGGACAACAAUGUGUCUGUUGUGGAAAUGUCUUUUCUGCUGUGUGUG